AAAUGAAUAGACGGGGACCCACACAAGCGGUGGAGCAUCUGGUUUAAUUCGAUAGUAAGCGAGGAACCUUACCAAGGCUUGACAUCCCACGAAGUUCGACGAAAGUUGAAUGUGCCGUAAGGAACGUGGUGACAGGUGCUGCAUGGUUGUCGUCAGCUCGUGCCUUGAGGUGUACGGUUAAGUCCGUAAACGAGCGCAACCCUUGUCUUAAGUUGCUUAUUUCUUAAGAGACUGCCGGCUCCAAGUCGGAGGAAGGUAAGGAUGACGUCAAAUCAGCAUGGCCCUUAUGUCUUGGGCGACACAGGUGCUACAAUGGCCAGUACAGUGGGUUGCGAAAGAGUAAUCUGGAGCUAAUCCCCAAAACUGGUCCAAGUUCGGAUUGAGGGCUGCAACUCGCCCUCAUGAAGUUGGAAUCGCUAGUAAACGCGUAUCAGCCAUGGCGCGUUGAAUAUGUUCCUGGGUCUUGUACACACCGCCCGU
rnacentral:rRNA from 1 species